UACGAAGGGGGCUAGCGUUGCUCGGAAUCACUGGGCGUAAAGGGUGCGUAGGCGGGUCUUUAAGUCAGGGGUGAAAUCCUGGAGCUCAACUCCAGAACUGCCUUUGAUACUGGAGAUCUUGAGUUCGGAAGAGGUUGGUGGAACAGCUAGUGUAGAGGUGAAAUUCGUAGAUAUCGGGAGGAACACCGGUGGCGAAGGCGGCGAUCUGGGUCGAUACUGACGCUGAGGUGCGAAAGCGUGGGGAGCAAACAGG
rnacentral:rRNA from 1 species